rnacentral:rRNA from 1 species
GUGACCCCAGGAUGGGCGAGGCCACCCGCCGAGUUUAAGCAUAUCAAUAAGCGGAGGAGAAGAAACUUACGAGGAUUCCCCUAGUAACGGCGAGCGAACCGGGAUAGGCCCAGCAUUGGAAUCGGGCUGCCAUGUAGCAGCUUGAAUUGUAGUCUGGAGAAGCGUCCUCAGCGACGGACCGGGCCCAAGUA